AUGCUGAUUCUAGAAGAGAAAUGGCAGAUCUGUGUUGCAGCCCUGCUCUGGAACUCUGGAGGGAACGCACCUCAUAACCUUCGAAAGCCGCACCCGUGAUUUUCCCUCUUUCUUAUUGAGGAUUCAGCUAUUCAUUAUGAAUUGGCCUACAGACCCUCAAAGCUAUUCCUAAGGAAAUUUUCUUUUCUCACUUCACACAAAUCUAUUGAUGUUCUCAGACGAUCUUCCUUAUGCUCUGUGUGGAAGCCUCCUCGAACGAUUGGAUCAAAGUCAAUUUUGAUGGGAGUGUCAAGGGAUAGGUGGCUGGGUAUGGGGGAAUUCUCCAUGAUCACCAUGGGGCAACGAUCUGGACUGUCUCAGGCAGAAUACAUCCUUGCGAGAUUAAUGAGGCGGAGUUAUGGGCCCUGAUGAAAGGAGUUCUAAACCUAGAUCUCUUCUAGGUGAGAGUCCAAAUUGAAGGAGACUCGGCUAACGUCAUCGGUUGGUAUUUGUUCUCGGAUUCUGCCCUUUGGUACCUUCAUAACCUCAUGGACGAAAUUUUAAUUCAUUUGAGAGAUUCUGGAGUCUCAUUUUCACUUGCUGCUCGAGGGUACAAUUCGGAUGCUGACGGAUUGGAUAACUUGGCUACUUCCUAAGCUAUGCCUUCC
rnacentral:lncRNA from 1 species